rnacentral:rRNA from 1 species
UACGUAGGGUGCGAGCGUUAAUCGGAAUCACUGGGCGUAAAGCGCCCGUAGGCGGCUUCUUAAGUCAGGGGUGAAAUCCUGGAGCUCAACUCCAGAACUGCCUUUGAUACUGGGAAGCUUGAGUCCGGAAGAGGUGAGUGGAACUCCGAGUGUAGAGGUGAAAUUCGUAGAUAUUCGGAAGAACACCAGUGGCGAAGGCGGCUCACUGGUCCGGUACUGACGCUGAGGUGCGAAAGCGUGGGGAGCAAACAGG